CACUCUAGUGGUACCAUUUUUAUUGGGCCUAAAGCGUUCGUAGCCGGUUUGAUAAGUCUCUGGUGAAAUCCUAUAGCUUAACUGUGGGACUUGCUGGAGAUACUAUUAGACUUGAGGUCGGGAGAGGCCCGCGGUACUCCCAGGGUAGGGGUGAAAUCCCGUAAUCCUGGGAGGACCACCUAUGGCGAAGGCGGCUCACUGGAACGAGUCCGACGGUGAGGGACGAAAGCCGGGGGCGCGAACCGGAUUAGAUACCCGGGUAGUCCCAGCUGUAAACGAUGCUCGCUAGGUGUCAGGUGCGGUGCGACCGCAUCUGGUGCCGCAGUGAAAACUUGAAGCGAGUCACCUGGGAAGUACGGUCGCAAGGCUGAAACUUAAAGGAAUUGGCGGGGGAGCACUACAACGGGUGGAGCCUGCGGUUCAAUUGGAUUCAACGCCGGAAAGCUUACCGGGUCAGACAGCAAUAUGAAGUCAAGCUAAAACUUUACCGAAUCCGCGUGAAAAGAAGUUCAUGGCCGUCCUCAUUCCUAUCCU
rnacentral:rRNA from 1 species